rnacentral:rRNA from 1 species
ACUGCUCAGUAACACGUGGACAACGUGCCCUAUAGUGGGGGAUAAUCUCGGGAAACUGAGGAUAAUACCCCAUAGGCCAUGGGAUCUGGAAUGACCCAUGGCUCAAAGUUCCGGCGCUAUAGGAUCGGUCUGCGGCCUAUCAGGUAGUAGUGGGUGUAACGUACCCCCUAGCCAUUGACGGGUAUGGGCCUUGAGAGAGGGAGCCCAGAGUUGGAUUCUGAGACACGAAUCCAGGCCCUACGGGGCGCAGCAGUCGCGAAAACUUCACAAUGGGCGAAAGCCCGAUGAGGGAAUUCCAAGUGCGUAUACAUUAGUAUACGCUUUUGUUCAGCGUAGAUAACUGGACGAAUAAGGGCUGGGUAAGACGGGUGCCAGCCGCCGCGGUAAUACCCGCAGCCCGAGUGGUGGUCGAUUUUAUUGAGUCUAAAACGUUCGUAGCCGGUUUAGUAAAUCUCUGGGUAAAUCGGAAGGCUCAACUUUCCGAAUUCCGGAGAGACUGCUAGACUUGGGAUCGGGAGAGGUAAGAGGUACUUCAGGGGUAGGGGUAAAAUCCUGUAAUCCUUGGAGGACCACCGGUGGCGAAGGCGUCUUACUAGAACGAAUCCGACGGUGAGGGACGAAGCCCUAGGUCGCAAACGGGAUUAGAUACCCCGGUAGUCUAGGGUGUAAACGCUGCAGACUUGGUGUUGGGGACCCUUCGUGGGUAUUCAGUGCCGGAGAGAAGUUGUUAAGUCUGCUACUUGGGGAGUACGUCCGCAAGGAUGAAACUUAAAGGAAUUGGCGGGGGAGCAC